rnacentral:piRNA from 1 species
GAGCACACAGCAUCCAUACUAGUCAAAG